rnacentral:tRNA from 1 species
AGUCUUAUAUUCAUAAUUGAUUUUAGAAUGCAAUUCUUAAGGAGCGGGAUUUCGCUAAGGCUU